rnacentral:lncRNA from 1 species
CCAAGGCCCUAAACGUUGAUAUCGACGCAUAGUUUGUGACUAAGUAAAUAUAUGAUGGUUUUUGUUCAGUUUUUAGCCUAGGGUGGUUGGUUGGUUAGUUUUGGGUUAAGCACCAUAUCCAGUGGAUCAAGUGCAGAUGCUAACUGGAACCAGUCUACCAGAACUCGCCCUGUUCUGAGCAGCAAGGUACCCAGUGGAAACACAGCUUCUGCAAUAACUGCAUCCCAGCCCAGGGGCCCAACCCAAGUCAGGGCAAAAACUACAAGUACAAUGCACAGCAAAAUGAGGAUCGAAGAGCCAAAUAUCCUGCAUAACAUCCACCAGCCGUGAUGAACAACUACCAGGACUGAUACUUGUACUGGUACAUUGCUGUGUUAUGCUCAACAAAUUAUGUGCUUACGUGGUCCUGUAGACAACGUACAUGAAAUAAACAUACAUGUAAAA